rnacentral:ribozyme from 1 species
AAGAAAGAGAAAUAGGCGGUUGCUUUUUUAAAAAUUUGUUUUUUCUGUCUGUCUUUUCUGUUCCUUAGUUCUUCCUUCCUUUUUCUG